rnacentral:rRNA from 1 species
UCGGGUUAAGUACCCACUAACGAGCGCAACCCUUACCCGUUAGUUACCAUCAGGUUAAGCUGGGGACUCUAGCGGGACUGCCACCGUAAGGUGAGAGGAAGGUGGGGAUGACGUCAAAUCAGCACGGCCCUUAUGUCCAGGGCUACACACGUGUUACAAUGGCCGGUACAAAGGGCAGCUACUUCGCGAGAAGAUGCUAAUCUCGAAAGCCGGUCUCAGUUCGGAUCGAAGUCUGCAACCCGACUUCGUGAAGCUGGAUUCGCUAGUAAUCGCGCAUCAGCCAUGGCGCGGUGAAUACGUUCCCGGGCCUU